rnacentral:rRNA from 1 species
UGAGUAACCUGCCCCAGACUCUGGAAUAACCCCGGGAAACCGGAGCUAAUACCGGAUACGAGACGAAGCUGCAUGGCUAUCGUCUGGAAAGUUUUUCGGUCUGGGAUGGACUCGCGGCCUAUCAGCUUGUUGGUGAGGUAAUGGCUCACCAAGGCGACGACGGGUAGCCGGCCUGAGAGGGUGACCGGCCACACUGGGACUGAGACACGGCCCAGACUCCUACGGGAGGCAG